AUGGGGGUCUCUGGCUGCGGUAACAACAACGGCAAGACGCUGGUGCUCCUGGCCUGCUUCCUCCUCCUGGUGGCUUCCCCGUUCCUGCAUGGAGUCGGGCGCUUCGCCGUCGCGGAAGCGACGAGUCCAGAGGAAGCGGCCGAGCAGAAGCUGAUGGCGGGGAGCACGCGGACGCUGGAGACGGCGGCGCCGCAGCAGCAUCGGCAUGGCCCGGGCUCGGCCGCGUCUGCCAUGUCGAGCAAUGCUGCUGGCCGUCUCUGGUCGGCCGAGCCCAAGCCGGCCGUGGCUCGCAGGUUGCUGCCGGAAGGAGCUGUAGACGGGGCCGGCCAUUCGUGCGGCUCCAACGGUGGCCAGGGCUGCAUCCCGUAA
rnacentral:rRNA from 1 species